CAGGUGGCAGACCUGUUGACAACUCUGUGGACCAAUUUCCCCAAAUACAGUGAUCCGGCGCCAUCCGGAAGUCCAGUGGUGUGGGAAACGUUGACGGCGAAUGCUUCCAACUAUCUGGAUAUGCAACUGGAGUUUACAACACGUCAGGACGUCCUCAAGGAACGGAUGGAUUUCUGGAGAGAUAUACUAGCUUCUUAAAGAGUUGAAUGCUGUGAUAUUCUUUAUUAUGUUCUGCUCACUGCAAAAUACAUUUUAAUGCGUUUAGUUUGAAAACAACA